rnacentral:rRNA from 1 species
UACGUAGGUGGCAAGCGUUGUCCGGAAUUAUUGGGCGUAAAGCGCGCGCAGGCGGUCCUUUAAGUCUGAUGUGAAAGCCCUCGGCUCAACCGAGGAAGUGCAUACGAAACUGGCGAGCUUGAAUAUGGAAGAGGGUCGCGGAAUUCCCGGUGUAGAGGUGAAAUUCGUAGAUAUCGGGAGGAACACCAGUGGCGAAGGCGGCGACCUGGGCCAAUAUUGACGCUGAGGUGCGAAAGCGUGGGGAGCGAACAGG